AGUGAACGCUGGCGGUAGGCCUAACACAUGCAAGUCGAACGGCAGCACAGUAAGAGCUUGCUCUUACGGGUGGCGAGUGGCGGACGGGUGAGGAAUACAUCGGAAUCUACUUUUUCGUGGGGGAUAACGUAGGGAAACUUACGCUAAUACCGCAUACGACCUACGGGUGAAAGCAGUGGAUCUUCGGACCUUGCGCGAUUGAAUGAGCCGAUGUCGGAUUAGCUAGUUGGCGGGGUAAAGGCCCACCAAGGCGACGCUCCGUAGCUGGUCUGAGAGGAUGAUCAGCCACACUGGAACUGAGACACGGUCCAGACUCCUACGGGAGGCAGCAGUGGGGAAUAUUGGACAAUGGGCGCAAGCCUGAUCCAGCCAUACCGCGUGGGUGAAGAAGGCCUUCGGGUUGUAAAGCCCUUUUGUUGGGAAAGAAAAGCAGCAGGUUAAUACCCCGCUGUUCUGACGGUACCCAAAGAAUAAGCACCGGCUAACUUCGUG
rnacentral:rRNA from 1 species